GUCCCCCCCCCCCCACUUUUUCCAAAGUCAAGUUUUGACCCCUGCACUUUUUACCAUCCAAAAACAAUAUUACGCUAUAUUAAAUUGACACUGGUUGAGCUCUAGGACCAAGCGGAAAACAACCGUUUGUGUUGAAGCCUGUUUCCCAUUAGAGCAUACUGUAAAGAUACAACCCCCCCACCCACCCACCCCCGUGUCCCCCCCACUUCUAAAGUGAAAAUUACGUCCAUGCCUAGAACUGAAGGACAGGAGGAGAAUGGUGAAGUAGAGGAACGAGCUGACACUGAUACCCAUGUUAGGAGGUCUGAGCGGGGUCGCCAACCACCAAUGAGGCUCAACUACACUGAAUUGGGGAACCCAAUUGUCACCGUGGUAAAGUCCUUCUUCCAAGGGUUGACCGAUGCGUGGAAUGACAUGGUAAAUGAAGGUGAAGCACAUGCUUCUACUCUUGCCUUUACCCCCAAGAGACAUUUGUGUGAACCUUGUCAUGCACAGGGACGUGCAAGAGUUCAGGAGGGGAGAGUGUAAUCCACAUCAGAAUUGUGGUUUGUGCUGCGGCAUAUGGUUGAAGGUGUGAUUUCCCUCUCCGCCACUAGGAGGCGAGUAUGCCUUGAGAUGACUUCCUGUUAGUCAACAUUUCCUGUUGUGAAAGCCGUUACUCACGAGGCAACCGCCAGAUUAACUGAAAGAUCCUGGAUCUGAAUUCUGUGAAAUACGGCCGUGGGAAGCUGCGUCAGCCGGGCGAGCUAUCUCACCACGAGCUCCGAUUGUUUUUUUGACCAGGACCGGAUCAUUUGAGAUCUGAACCUUGUGGGUUCAGUGGCGAGCCAGUUCCAAGAGAGUGACUGUAGACGGACCAGAGUACGGUGUGGCCAGCCGUGGGAUCCAUCUUCAGCGAGCCCCAGGACUAUCACUACAUCCCUUGACACAGAUAAGACUGACAUUUUAAAAAAAAAUCUACCCAGGUAGUGUUAGAACCACUGGACAGAAACACACACACACACACACACACACACACACACACACACACACACACACACA